UACGUAGGUGGCAAGCGUUGUCCGGAUUUAUUGGGCGUAAAGGGCUCGUAGGCGGUCCAUCACGUCGGGAGUGAAAGCUGGGCUUAACCCCAGUCUGCUUCCGAUACGGUGGACUAGAGGUAGGUAGGGAGAACGGAAUUCCUGGUGUAGCGGUGAAAUGCGCAGAUAUCAGGAGGAACACCGGUGGCGAAGGCGGUUCUCUGGGCCUACCUGACGCUGAGGAGCGAAAGCGUGGGGAGCAAACAGG
rnacentral:rRNA from 1 species